rnacentral:pre_miRNA from 1 species
AAAAUACUCCCUCCGUCCGGAAAUACUUGUCUUAGAAAUGGUUGUAUCUAGACUUAUUUUAGUUAUAGAUACAUUCAUUUUCAACCAUUUUUAGGACAAGUAUUUUCGGACGGAGGGAGUAGCAG